rnacentral:rRNA from 1 species
GGGUGAGUCGGGUCCUAAGGCGAGGCCGACAGGCGUAGUCGAUGGGUAACCAGUUGAUAUUCUGGUACCGGCUUGUCACCGUCCGUGUCGAGGUGUGUGAUGCUAAGCAUGUGAGCUUGUCUUGGGAGUGUUUUUGAUGCUUCUGGGGUGGGUGAGUGUGUGAACCGAUCAUGUAGUAGGCAAGCUGCGGAGGGACGCAGUGAGGUAGCUCAUCCCCGGUGAUGGUUGUCCGGGGGUAAGUGUGUGGACUGGUUGGUAGGUAAAUCCGCUGGGCGUGAAGGUUGAGGAAUGAGGGGGAGCCCAUGGUUGUGGGUGAGUGAGUGAUCCUGUACUGUCGAGAAAAGCUUCGUGAGCGAGGUGGCGGGUCCGCCCGUACCCUAAACCGACACUGGUGGAUAGGUAGAGUA